UGUUAAAAAUUUCAUUCAUUUGUACGGUUAAAAAUUAGCGCGACUGAUGAAAUAACAAGAUAUUGACAUGUAAUGUGACAUAUGUACGUCAUAUUAAUGUACAAGAAAUAGUUUUUACUAGUAGAAAUUGAUGAAAUUUUCAAAA
rnacentral:pre_miRNA from 1 species